rnacentral:lncRNA from 1 species
CCUUCGUCAGAUGGUGUGGAAUGAUUCACCCAGUUUUUCUUUUCUUGUUCUGAGAAUGUUCGUAAUCUACGACGAUUCAAAGAUCGGGACCACCGGGGGCAGUCGAUCCGUCGACCAGAUGGUGGCCUCGGUUUUCCGCUGCCUUGCCGCCGACGCCAGCCGGUGGCCCGCCAUAUUCUCGCGAUACGAGAAGUAGGUAAUCACGGCGGUGCGGCGAGAGAAGGUCCAGCCGAGGGGGGGCGGCACAUCGGAUACCGCUCCAGGAAG